rnacentral:tRNA from 1 species
AGUGAUGUGCCUGAUAAAAGGAUUAUCGUGAUAGGAUAAAUUAUGUAUCUUAUUACCAUCACUA